CCCUSCCUCCGCCACCGUGACGCGCGGGAAAGGGGCGGGGGCGGCCGCGGACCCGGGCCCUGGUCCGUGCUGCCACCGUGUCCCGAGGUGACCUCGGGGUUCGCGGGCUCGUCAUGGGGUGACWCGGGACCCCGGGCUGCGGGCAGAGCUGGGCUGGCGCGGCCUCUGCUGCGGGGCUUGCUACGGGCCCGCUGAGGCCACGGACAGGCCGCGGGCAGGCGRACCUACCGGCAAAAAGCACUCCAGGAGCCCCAGCCCCGACCCCCGGGCACGGCCUCCCGAACAGGCUCCAGCUGGAAGCAGCAGGACCGCCAGUCCGGAACUUUCAGGCUGGAACAGACAGUUCAGAGAGAUUACUAUGCCCAGAAGGUGAAUAUGGAGUCACAGCACCGAACUCUAGCCCAAGAACAGAAGUAUUGUGUGUGCUUUAAAGCAGCACAACCCCUUUCUUCAGAGGCUGAUUGAUUAUACUGCACUGUUUGCCAUCAGCCCAACACAAUUACCUCCAUGGCACUGUGGAACACUGAAAAAGGAACACAAAUUCCUGGAGAAAUAUCUUUUUAAAUGUAAUUUAUGGAUAGGUUGCAGUAGUGGUACAGWUCCCUUCAGCAAUUUUGCAUAUUACACUGAACAGUGUAAGAAAGGGACAUGAUUUUUUUUUCUGGGUUACCUUUUUUAAACCCUUUAGGAGUCACCCACAGAACAUUCCCCACAUACACUUUUACCUCUCCCAUCACUUAGGUCUGUAUAAGCUCUUGCUUACAUGAACAAAGAUGUCAGUAUAACACAUUUCCUACAUUCUUAAUAGCGUUUUUCAGUCAAGAAGUCAACAUUUCCUUUGCAUAGGAAUUUCAUUGCCAAAAUCUUUUGCGUCUAAAUGGAUCUGUUUCCAUUCAUAAUAUUUGUGUACACAAAACAUCUGUCCAUGAGAAAAACAGAAAUAUCAUAUAAAGAUGGCUAGUACAGCUUAAAGUACAAAGAAGGUACUUGGAAUUCUUACCUUAAAAAUG